rnacentral:lncRNA from 1 species
GAACCAGGUCAGAAAGGCAGUAAAGGUGACAAGGGAGAAAACGGUCCUCCUGGGCCACCAGGUCUUCAAGGUCCUGUUGGUGCCCCUGGUAUAGCUGGAGGUGAUGGAGAGCCAGGUCCCCGCGGUCAACAAGGCAUGUUUGGGCAGAAAGGUGAUGAAGGUUCUCGAGGUUUCCCUGGUCCUCCAGGCCCUAUUGGUCUUCAGGGUUUACCUGGCCCACCAGGUGAAAAGGGAGAAAAUGGUGAUGUUGGCCCAAUGGUAAGGGUUUCUUUUCUUGUUCAUUAUAAAUGCCAUAAAAAAAAAUUGUUUGCUAUUGAUUUACUGAUGUCUUAUAA